CGGGUUGUGGCGCAGCUUGGUAGCGCACCUCGUUCGGGACGAGGGGGUCGCAGGUUCAAAUCCUGUCAACCCGACC
rnacentral:tRNA from 1 species